AUUUCAUGACCGAGGAGACAUGCUGCAUAUAUUUUCGCACUGGCAAAAGAGAAAUCAAACUGAUGAGGAACAGUGAGUCCAAUGAUGCAAGAACAAUCGGUCAUUAUCCUUUUUCUUUUAAAAUUUUUUUUCUGUAAAUUUUUUUGUUGAUCAAGAGAUAUUUAAUAAAUUUCAAACAAAUCUAUUCCGAGAUUUGAGUCAUUAUUCUGUCAUUUUCGACUUUUAUUCGAGAUUUAUCUCAAAAAAACAAUCCGUAAACUACCUGGAUGAUUACGUUUCUCAUUUUAAGAUCAGUCCUUUGUACCGGAGAUGCGUUGAGUCGGCCAAGUUCGAUGAAACAAGCAAGAAAUGGACUGGCGGUGGCUAGUGGAGAAGCAAGCAACCCUUAAUUAUACACCAGAGAUUGAAGGAAUGAAUACCUUCCCUGGAGAUGUUCUCCAUUCAACCUUGUUCAGAAAUGACAAUGCUUUUAGAGACCAGAACGUUUUGGUUGUUGGGUCUGGUAAUUCUGGCACGGAGAUCGCACUGAAACCAGGCAACUUGCGGUUCACAUUCUUUCAAUGAAGAUGGCGUAAUUGGGGUUAAUUAUGUUGAAGUACAUUCCGGUUAACAUGGUGAAGUCGUUGAUGGUCAUGCCUAGCAAGCUUGUUAAUGGGGAAUUGACCAGGCCGAAGGAAGGAGGGUCCAUUUUUCAUGAAAGUUGCCUAUGGAAAGUACCCUGUUUUUGAUGUAGGAACCUAUAACAAGAUCAAGUCCCCAGGGAUUUAGGUAAAUAUUAGAUUGUUUCAUGGAAUAUAAUACUUGAUAAUUUUCCUUUUUUUCUUUUUAUUUUCUUGUAC